rnacentral:rRNA from 1 species
UAGCAAUACACUAGUGGCGAACGGGUGAGUAACACGUAGGUAACCUGCCUUGAAGUUUGGGAUACCCGAGGGAAACUUCGGCUAAUACCGGAUACGAUCGUUGGAGGCAUCUCUGACGAUUAAAAGACGCAGCAAUGCGUCUCUUCAAGAUGGGCCUGCGUCGCAUUAGCUAGUUGGUGAGGUAACGGCUCACCAAGGCUUCGAUGCGUAGCCGACCUGAGAGGGUGAUCGGCCACAAUGGAACUGAGACACGGUCCAUACUCC